rnacentral:rRNA from 1 species
CUUGAGUGUGGUAGGGGCAGAGGGAAUUCCCGGUGUAGCGGUGAAAUGCGUAGAUAUCGGGAAGAACACCAGUGGCGAAGGCGCUCUGCUGGGCCAUAACUGACGCUCAUGGACGAAAGCCAGGGGAGCGAAAGGGAUUAGAUACCCCUGUAGUCCUGGCCGUAAACGAUGAACACUAGGUGUCGGGGGAAUCGACCCCCUCGGUGUCGUAGCCAACGCGUUAAGUGUUCCGCCUGGGGAGUACGCACGCAAGUGUGAAACUCAAAGGAAUUGACGGGGGCCCGCACAAGCGGUGGAGUAUGUGGUUUAAUUCGAUGCAACGCGAAGAACCUUACCAGGGUUUGACAUCCUGCGAACCUCUUGGAAACGAGAGGGUGCCUUCGGGAACGCAGUGACAGGUGGUGCAUGGCUGUCGUCAGCUCGUGUCGUGAGAUGUUGGGUUAAGCCCCGCAACGAGCGCAACCCACGUCUUUAGUUGCCAGCAUUUAGUUGGGCACUCUAGAGAGACCGCCGGUGAUAAACCGGAGGAAGGUGUGGAUGACGUCAAGUCAUCAUGCCCCUUACAUCCUGGGCUACACACGUACUACAAUGCUACGGACAAAGAGCAGCAAGUUCGCGAGGACAAGCAAAUCUCAUAAACCGUGGCUCAGUUCAGAUCGUAGGCUGCAACUCGCCUACGUGAAGGAGGAAUCGCUAGUAAUCGCAGGUCAGCAUACUGCGGUGAAUACGUUCCCGGGCCUUGUACACACCGCCCGUCACACCAUGGAAGUUGGCCACGCCCGAAGCCGUUACUCCAACCCUUGUGGAGGAGGACGUCGAAGGUGGGGCUGAUGACUGGGGUGAAGUCGUAACAAGGUAACCGUA